rnacentral:rRNA from 1 species
CUACGUGCCAGCAGCCGCGGUAAUACGGAGGAUGCGAGCGUUAUCCGGAUUUAUUGGGUUUAAAGGGUGCGUAGGCGGCCUGUUAAGUCAGCGGUGAAAUCUAGGAGCUUAACUCCUAAAUUGCCAUUGAUACUGGCGGGCUUGAGUGUAGAUGAGGUAGGCGGAAUGCGUGGUGUAGCGGUGGAAUGCAUAGAUAUCACGCAGAACUCCGAUUGCGAAGGCAGCUUACUAAGGUACAACUGACGCUGAAGCACGAAAGCGUGGGUAUCAAACAGGAUUAGAUACCCUGGUAGUCCACGCUGUAAACGAUGAUAACUGGGCGUAUGCGAUAUACAGUAUGCUCCUAAGCGAAAGCGUUAAGUUAUCCACCUGGGGAGUACGCCGGCAACGGUGAAACUCAAAGGAAUUGACGGGGGCCCGCACAAGCGGUGGAGCAUGUGGUUUAAUUCGAAGCAACGCGAAGAACCUUACCAGGUCUUGACAUCCCUCUGACCGCUCUAGAGAUAGAGUUUUCUUCGGGACA